rnacentral:rRNA from 1 species
GGAGCGAAAGCAUGGGUAACGAACAGGAUUAGAUAGCCUGGUAGUCCAUGCCGUAAACGGUGGGCGCUAGGUGUGAGUCCCUUCCACGGGGUUCGUGCCGUAGCUAACGCAUUAAGCGCCCCGCCUGGGGAGUACGGCCGCAAGGCUAAAACUCAAAGGAAUUGACGGGGGCCCGCACAAGCGGCGGAGCAUGUGGAUUAAUUCGAUGCAACGCGAAGAACCUUACCUGGGCUUGACAUACACCAGAUCGCUGCAGAGAUGUAGUUUCCCUUUGUGGUUGGUGUACAGGUGGUGCAUGGUUGUCGUCAGCUCGUGUCGUGAGAUGUUGGGUUAAGUCCCGCAACGAGCGCAACCCUUGUCUUAUGUUGCCAGCACGUUAUGGUGGGGACUCGUGAGAGACUGCCGGGGUUAACUCGGAGGAAGGUGGGGAUGACGUCAAAUCAUCAUGCCCCUUAUGUCCAGGGCUUCACACAUGCUACAAUGGUCGGUACAACGCGUCCCGCGAGCCUGUGAGGGUGAGCUAAUCGCUGUAAAGCCGGUCGUAGUUCGGAUUGGGGUCUGCAACUCGACCCCAUGAAGUCGGAGCCGCUAGUAAUCGCAGAUCAGCAACGCUGCGG